rnacentral:rRNA from 1 species
GAUGAGCGCUAGCGGGAGGCUUAACACAUGCAAGUCGAGGGGCAUCACGAGGUAGCAAUACCUUGGUGGCGACCGGCGCACGGGUGAGUAACACGUAUGCAACCUUCCCUGUACAGGGGGAUAACCCGGAGAAAUUCGGACUAAUACCCCAUGAUGAUAUUUAUGGGCAUCCAUUGAUAUUUAAAGCCCUGGCGGUACAGGAUGGGCAUGCGCGACAUUAGCUAGUUGGUAAGGUAACGGCUUACCAAGGCCACGAUGUUUAGGGGACCUGAGAGGGUUGUCCCCCACACUGGUACUGAGACACGGACCAGACUCCUACGGGAGGCAGCAGUGAGGAAUAUUGGUCAAUGGGCGGAAGCCUGAACCAGCCAUCCCGCGUGAAGGAAGAAUGCGCUAUGCGUUGUAAACUUCUUUUCCAGGGGGAGAAUAAUCCUGUCGUGACAGGACUUGACGGUACUCUGGGAAUAAGCAUCGGCUAACUCCGUGCCAGCAGCCGCGGU